CACGUAGGCAGCAAGCGUUGUUCGGAGUUACUGGGCGUAAAGGGUGUGUAGGCGGUUUUUUAAGUUUGGUGUGAAAUCUCCCGGCUCAACUGGGAGGGUGCGCCGAAUACUGAAAGACUAGAGUGCGGGAGAGGAAAGUGGAAUUCCUGGUGUAGCGGUGAAAUGCGUAGAUAUCAGGAGGAACACCGGUGGUGUAGACGGCUUUCUGGACCGUAACUGACGCUGAGACACGAAAGCGUGGGUAGCAAACAGG
rnacentral:rRNA from 1 species